rnacentral:rRNA from 1 species
GACGAACGCUGGCGGCGUGCCUAAUACAUGCAAGUAGAACGCUGAAGGGAGAGCUUGCUCUUCUGGAUGAGUUGCGAACGGGUGAGUAACGCGUAGGUAACCUGCCUGGUAGCGGGGGAUAACUAUUGGAAACGAUAGCUAAUACCGCAUAACAUUGACUAUUGCAUGAUAGUCAAUUAAAAGGUGCAAAUGCAUCACUACCAGAUGGACCUGCGUUGUAUUAGCUAGUUGGUGGGGUAACGGCUCACCAAGGCUACGAUACAUAGCCGACCUGAGAGGGUGAUCGGCCACACUGGGACUGAGACACGGCCCAGACUCCUACGGGAGGCAGCAGUAGGGAAUCUUCGGCAAUGGACGGAAGUCUGACCGAGCAACGCCGCGUGAGUGAAGAAGGUUUUCGGAUCGUAAAGCUCUGUUGUAAGAGAAGAACGAGUGUGAGAGUGGAAAGUUCACACUGUGACG